rnacentral:rRNA from 1 species
GACGAACCGUGCGAACGUUGUUCGGAAUCACUGGGCUUAAAGGGCGCGUAGGCGGGUUCGCAAGUCUGUGGUGAAAGCCUCCAGCUUAACUGGAGAAGUGCCGUGGAUACUGCGAAUCUUGAGGAGGGUAGGGGCGUCUGGAACUAGCGGUGGAGCGGUGAAAUGCGUUGAUAUCGCUAGGAACUCCGGUGGCGAAGGCGAGACGCUGGAUCUUUUCUGACGCUGAGGCGCGAAAGCCAGGGGAGCGAACGGG